rnacentral:rRNA from 1 species
UACGUAGGGUGCAAGCGUUGUCCGGAAUUAUUGGGCGUAAAGAGCUCGUAGGCGGUCUGUCGCGUCUGCUGUGAAAACUCAGGGCUUAACCCUGAGCUUGCAGUGGGUACGGGCAGACUAGAGUGCGGUAGGGGAGACUGGAAUUCCUGGUGUAGCGGUGAAAUGCGCAGAUAUCAGGAGGAACACCGGUGGGCGAAGGCGGAUCUCUGGGCCAUUACUGACGCUGGAGGAGCGAAAGCCGUGGGGAGCGAACAGG